AACGAACGCUGGCGGCAUGCCUAACACAUGCAAGUCGAACGAGAUCCCCCGGGGUCUAGUGGCUCACGGGUGCGUAACGCGGGGGAAUCUGCCCUUAGGUCCGGAACUACAGUUAGAAAUGACUUCUAAUACCGGAGGAUAAUGUUAAGUCGCAAGAUUUAUCGCCUGAGGAUGAGUGCGCGUAGGAUUCGCUGGUUGGUGUGGUAAAGGCGCACCAAGGGGACGAUCGUUAGCUGGGCUGGGAGGAUGGUCAGCCACACUGGGAGUGAGACACAGCCCAGACUCGGGCGGGAGGGGGGAGUGGGGGAUAUUGAACGACGGACGCAAGACUGAUCCAGCACGGGUGCGUGAGUGAUGAAGGCGGGAGGGAAAUGAAGCUCGUUUAUCCCAGAUGGUGAUGACAGUAUCGGGAGAAUAAGCCCCGGCUAACUUCGUG
rnacentral:rRNA from 1 species